UAGGGAAUCUUCCGCAAUGGACGAAAGUCUGACGGAGCAACGCCGCGUGAGUGAUGAAGGUUUUCGGAUCGUAAAACUCUGUUGUUAGGGAAGAACAAGUACCGUUCGAAUAGGGCGGCACCUUGACGGUACCUAACCAGAAAGCCACGGCUAACUACGUGCCAGCAGCCGCGGUAAUACGUAGGUGGCAAGCGUUGUCCGGAAUUAUUGGGCGUAAAGCGCGCGCAGGCGGUUUCUUAAGUCUGAUGUGAAAGCCCCCGGCUCAACCGGGGAGGGUCAUUGGAAACUGGGGAACUUGAGUGCAGAAGAGGAGAGUGGAAUUCCACGUGUAGCGGUGAAAUGCGUAGAGAUGUGGAGGAACACCAGUGGAGAAGGCGACUCUCUGGUCUGUAACUGACGCUGAGGCGCGAAAGCGUGGGGAGCGAACAGG
rnacentral:rRNA from 2 species